AGAAACGACAGCCCCUCCUCUACUCCACCCAGAGUGGUGGCAGAAAGAAAGGGUAUAGCGAGCAUUGCUGCCAGAGGUGGAGUGUAGGGUCAGGGCGUUCUGACCUGCUACAAACCCAGGAUGACCCCCUUGGGAAAUGAAGAUCCGCAACAGGAGGGGCGAGAGAGCAUGCAGGUGGUGGAAGACCUCGAAAUUCUCUUGAAUUUCACUUGGCUGGCCAGUCUGCAUGUGCAAAGGGCAUCUCUGAGAAACAAAGAAUGUUCUGCUUAAGGAGCCGGUCCUGAACACAAGGCAGCAGAGCUGGAAACCAUUAGUGAAUCUUGCUCAGAAGUCAGUGGUCGGCAUUUGUCACAUGCAUCUCAGCGAGAGGCAUAUUUUUUAGAUGGAAG